UACGUAGGGGGCUAGCGUUGUUCGGAAUCAUUGGGCGUAAAGCGCGUGUAGGCGGCUUGGCAAGUCAGUUGUGAAAGCCCGGGGCCCAACCCCGGAAUUGCAUCUGAAACUGCCUGGCUGGAGUCCCGGAGAGGAAGGCAGAAUUCCCGGUGUAGGGGUGAAAUCCGUAGAUAUCGGGAGGAACACCGGUGGCGAAGGCGGCAUUCUGGACCGACAUUGACGCUGAGGAGCGAAAGCCAGGGGAGCAAACGGG
rnacentral:rRNA from 1 species